AGAGUUUGAUCCUGGCUCAGGAUGAACGCUAGCGGCAGGCUUAACACAUGCAAGUCGAGGGGCAGCAUAGUAGCAAUACUGAUGGCGACCGGCAAACGGGUGCGGAACACGUACACAACUUACCCUCAUCUGGGGCAUAGCCCGUUGAAAAGCGGAUUAACUCCCCAUAGUAUUAUUGGUCGGCAUCGAUUGGUAAUUAA
rnacentral:rRNA from 1 species